rnacentral:misc_RNA from 1 species
GCUGCACGUGCGAGUGAGAAUACAUCAAACAAUUAAUAAGUAAUAAUUACAAGUUGCCUGGGCCUUGUCCCAGGGUGCCUAGAGGAACGUCAUCAUGUCACGCAAGCGUCAAGCUAACGAUAUUCAAGAUCUGUAUAAGAAAUUAGAAAAAAUACAGAGAAAGUUAGACAUCAUACGUGCCGUUCCGGAAAGUUCCAGCACGGACGAGGAGGAAGAGCAAAGACAGGUGAUAGAUGAGGAAAAAGAAUCGGACCUCUCUGAUGCAAUAGGUUCAGAUAAAGAAGAAAAUGAACAACUUACUGAGCAGUUAGACAAAGAAAACGUAGCGCCAAGCAAUUCGGACCAGAACACAGUGGCGACGGUCGACAAUGAGAUCCUCGAGAUGCUUGGAGAAGAUCCGCAAAAAUCAAAAGCGCUAGAUAUUGUUUUACAUGAUUCUUUGAAACUGCGUUGGAAUUACUGGAUUACACACGGAAUAGAACAGAAGUCCAAGGAAGAGCUGACGGUCAAAUACGCUCGUUCGUCGGAAUUUGACGCACCUAAACUAAACCCAGAAAUUUCCGCCAUACUCUCUGAGUCGGCAGUUAAAAGGGACAAUUUUAUGGUCGAAAAUCAAAAGCUAGCAGGAUCAGCUCUCACAGCAAUCGGCUCGGCGUUGACAUUGAUUAUGAUUGAGGAAGAAGAUAUAGAUAAGCUAUUAUUCGUACAGAGACUUAACGAAGCGGCUAAAUUAAUAAUGGCAAUCCAUUUUAACGAAACCGAGUCGCGUAAAGCUUUCAUUUACCCCGGAAUUAAUAAACAAUUUAAGACGACCCUUAAAGAACGAAAAUCGGAUACUUUUCUGUUUGGAGAAAACUUAGCAGACAAGAUUAAAGAAUCUAAAAGUAUCGCAAGUCUAACACAGAACGUCAAAAAUCAACAGUUUUCAAGAAGUCUGUCACAAUAUUCUAAGAAAAAUUUAAACGCAAAGAGCCUGCAGGUGAAGAGGCCGUUCACCAAUCGUGCAGGCUAUCCCAACACUCAAGGCCACAACCGCUCUCGUCUGACCUUCAGGACGAAAGAACCAUACAACUCGAGAGCACGAACACACCGGAGUUCCAGCAGGUCAACGAGGAAAACCAGAUAAAUUCCAGUCACUCGUCAUUUAGAACAACGUCUCCUAGCGUGGAGGACAAGAUACUGGCGAACAAGAAACUCACAUUAAUCUCAGUAACAAAUCCUCAUAAAGAGAAAUAUGAUAACUAACGGCAAAGUGGUUUGCGAGGCGAAUUACGUAGGACUGUCGGUGAACAAGGCAUAUAGGGAAUGCAAUUCGUAGUGCAAAUGUAAAAGCAGAUUGGCGAUGAGGGAGGUGAAAGAAAUGGCGAAGGAGACGGUUUUGGUGGAGAUUGAGGCCUAUAAACUGUCUUACACUGGGCACGAGGCAUGUAAGGAAAGCUUACAGGUGGAGUACAACAAAUCAUCGAACAUUGAACUGGACAUGUUGAUUUAAAACGAGAUAGAGGAGAAAGACUCAAAGUAUUGCAAUUUCUAGAAUUUGAUAAAUAGUCAAAUUAUUAAUUAAUAUAUCAUAUAUUUAUAAUAAUCCAAGAGAAAGUUUAAAACCUGAUUUGUGUGAAAUGUUUCUUGAGUGUAAAUUCUUAAAUUUAUCAAAUUUAGUUAUUAUUAGUUAUUAUUUAUUUUGAUCUUCUUCAAUCUAUCAAUUAUUUGUACAAAGCAAAAACUUGGACGCAAUAAUGUAACGUCCGCAUGAAAAUUUGAAUUCACAUUAACACAAUUUUUUAUUAAUACAAAUCUCAUCGUAUAAAUUCUUAUUAAAAUUUACCUCAACAUAACGUACUAAUAGUGUUCUUCAACAACGUUGAUUGAUGAUAUAUUUGUUGAAAAUUUGGGAAAAUAUAUAGUAUUUGUUAUAUAAAAAUCAUUGAUAACAACUGAUCUCUUGAUCCAAUGGGAGACGAUUAUAUCUGUUGUCGCAAUAAUCAUUCAAGAUCAUUGAGAAUUUUGUCGGUUAUUGACAAGAGACACUUUGAAAUAUAUAUAAAGUUAGCUUCUCAUUAUCGUCAAACUAAUCAGCCAAAGAUUAUUUAGCAGUAACCUUGGUGACCUAUAAAAAAAUUUAUCGUUGAUGUU